UACGUAGGGUGCAAGCGUUAAUCGGAAUUACUGGGCGUAAAGCGUGCGCAGGCGGUUUUGUAAGUCUGUCGUGAAAGCCCCGGGCUCAACCUGGGAAUUGCGAUGGAGACUGCAAGGCUUGAAUCUGGCAGAGGGGGGUAGAAUUCCACGUGUAGCAGUGAAAUGCGUAGAUAUCAGGAGGAACACCGAUGGCGAAGGCAGGUCUCUGGGCUGACACUGACGCUCAUGCACGAAAGCGUGGGGAGCAAACGGG
rnacentral:rRNA from 1 species